AAUCAACGCUGGCGGCGUGCCUCAGACAUGCAAGUCGAACGAUUAAAGCUCUCUUCGGAGAGUGUAUAGAGUGGCGCACGGGUGAGUAACACGUAAGUAAUCUACCUUUGAGUGGGGAAUAACAGUCGGAAACGACUGCUAAUACCGCAUAAUGCAGCGGCAUCGCAAGAUGACAGUUGUUAAAGAUUUAUCGCUUGAAGAGGAGCUUGCGGCAGAUUAGCUAGUUGGUAAGGUAAUGGCUUACCAAGGCUACGAUCUGUAACCGGUCUAAGAGGACGGUCGGUCACACUGACACUGAAUAACGGGUCAGACUCCUACGGGAGGCAGCAGUCGGGAAUUUUGGGCAAUGGGCGAAAGCCUGACCCAGCAACGCCGCGUGAAGGAUGAAGUAUUUCGGUAUGUAAACUUCGAAAGAAUGGGAAGAAUCAAUGACGG
rnacentral:rRNA from 1 species